rnacentral:misc_RNA from 1 species
AAACAGUUCAAAUGCUAAAUACUAAGGAGUCAAAAUUCCUUGCAAAGUGAUUUUUACAGCGUCCAUUUGGUUGAUAUAAAUUCCAAAUGCUCAUAGACGUCAAUGCCUAUAUGAAACUAUCGGUUCAAUCAUAUCGCUUUGAGUUAUAUAGAUUUUGUAAUCCCUCUUUUGAUCGUUUUAAACGCUUUAUUCUGAUUUAGGGGCCGUAGCUCAGCUGGGAGAGCACCUGCUUUGCAAGCAGG